CUCAGUAGAAACAGACGGUGUGCAGGAAGGUCCGGCCGCUCUUCUCUUCCAGCUCCUGGAUCAGCUCAUCGAUUUCAUUCUCCAUGUCCUCGGUGCGCUGAAUCUAAACGGGACAAACAUGGCUAAGAUGCUGUCGGAACCUGAGGAUUUCUGACAUAUACCGGGGACAAGAGAUUGCAGGUUAGACUUGCAUGUUAUAGUGAACUGGAGUUCAACCUCGGAUUCCAGAGCACUUUCAGCUAUCUGGGAUUCCAGCAUCUCCACACCGUGAUUCACAGUCUUGUUGAAGACCACUACUGAGCCACGAGUUUCUUGUUGCACACGAGAUCUGGGAAAUCACAAGAUGGGGGCAUCAGCAAACCACGUUUCACAAGCAUCUAGGUCAACGGCGUGGCGAACACAAGGGAUGGCCAUUUUACCUUCAAGCACCUGAUCGUAUACACGCUCCUCACA